GCUGGUGCUGCUGCUGAUGUCUUCCUGUCGUUGUUGAAUCUCCUCUUUCUGAAAUUUCUACUUGACUCACCUCUCCUAUUAUCAUGUCCAGGAUUUCCACCUGAGUGGUUACCGCCUUUGUCCGUAUUCUUCCCUCCUCGCUGGUUAUCAUCGUUCUGAUGACUGUUGUCACCGAUAUGACCCUGGUUGUGGUCCCUCGGUUGAGUAUACUCA
rnacentral:lncRNA from 1 species